UACGUAGGGGGCAAGCGUUGUCCGGAAUCAUUGGGCGUAAAGAGCGUGUAGGCGGUUCGGUAAGUCGGCUGUGAAAGUCCAGGGCUCAACCCUGGGAUGCCGGUCGAUACUGCCGGACUAGAGUUCGGAAGAGGCGAGUGGAAUUCCCGGUGUAGCGGUGAAAUGCGCAGAUAUCGGGAGGAACACCUAUGGCGAAGGCAGCUCGCUGGGACGGAACUGACGCUAAGGCGCGAAAGCGUGGGGAGCGAACAGG
rnacentral:rRNA from 1 species